GACGAACGCUGGCGGCGUGCUUAACACAUGCAAGUCGAACGGAAAGGCCCUGCUUUUGUGGGGUGCUCGAGUGGCGAACGGGUGAGUAACACGUGAGUAACCUGCCCUUGACUUUGGGAUAACUUCAGGAAACUGGGGCUAAUACCGGAUAGGAGCUCCUGCUGCAUGGUGGGGGUUGGAAAGUUUCGGCGGUUGGGGAUGGACUCGCGGCUUAUCAGCUUGUUGGUGGGGUAGUGGCUUACCAAGGCUUUGACGGGUAGCCGGCCUGAGAGGGUGACCGGCCACAUUGGGACUGAGAUACGGCCCAGACUCCUACGGGAGGCAGCAGUGGGGAAUAUUGCACAAUGGGCGGAAGCCUGAUGCAGCAACGCCGCGUGCGGGAUGACGGCCUUCGGGUUGUAAACCGCUUUCGCCUGUGACGAAGCGUGAGUGACGGUAAUGGGUAAAGAAGCACCGGCUAACUACGUGCCAGCAGCCGCGGUGAUACGUAGGGUGCGAGCGUUGUCCGGAUUUAUUGGGCGUAAAGGGCUCGUAGGUGGUUGAUCGCGUCGGAAGUGUAAUCUUGGGGCUUAACCCUGAGCGUGCUUUCGAUACGGGUUGACUUAAGGAAGGUAGGGGAGAAUGGAAUUCCUGGUGGAGCGGUGGAAUGCGCAGAUAUCAGGAGGAACACCAGUGGCGAAGGCGGUUCUCUGGGCCUUUCCUGACGCUGAGGAGCGAAAGCGUGGGGAGCGAACAGGCUUAGAUACCCUGGUAGUCCACGCUGUAAACGGUGGGUACUAGGUGUGGGGUCCAUUCCACGGGUUCCGUGCCGUAGCUAACGCUUUAAGUACCCCGCCUGGGGAGUACGGCCGCAAGGCUAAAACUCAAAGGAAUUGACGGGGCCCCGCACAAGCGGCGGAGCAUGCGGAUUAAUUCGAUGCAACGCGUAGAACCUUACCUGGGUUUGACAUGGAUCGGGAGUGCUCAGAGAUGGGUGUGCCUCUUUUGGGGUCGGUUCACAGGUGGUGCAUGGCUGUCGUCAGCUCGUGUCGUGAGAUGUUGGGUUAAGUCCCGCAACGAGCGCAACCCUUGUUCACUGUUGCCAGCACGUUAUGGUGGGGACUCAGUGGAGACCGCCGGGGUCAACUCGGAGGAAGGUGGGGAUGACGUCAAGUCAUCAUGCCCCUUAUGUCCAGGGCUUCACGCAUGCUACAAUGGCUGGUACAGAGAGUGGCGAGCCUGUGAGGGUGAGCGAAUCUCGGAAAGCCGGUCUCAGUUCGGAUUGGGGUCUGCAACACGACCUCAUGAAGUCGGAGUCGCUAGUAAUCGCAGAUCAGCAACGCUGCGGUGAAUACGUUCCCGGGGCU
rnacentral:rRNA from 1 species